UAUGGGUAGAUGUUUAGAAAGGGCACCACUGGGUGUGUGGAUGGAGAACUUCUCCCUUGAGGGGGGAGCAACACUGAGCCUUUGCCCUGGUUGGAAAAGGCC